rnacentral:rRNA from 1 species
UGCUACUUCGGGAUAAGCCUGGGAAACUGGGUCUAAUACCGGAUAGGACGAUGGUUUGGAUGCCAUUGUGGAAAGUCUUUCGGUGUGGGAUGAGCUCGCGGCCUAUCAGCUUGUUGGUGGGGUAAUGGCCUACCAAGGCGUCGACGGGUAGCCGGCCUGAGAGGGUGUACGGCCACAUUGGGACUGAGAUACGGCCCAG